UACGUAGGUGGCAAGCGUUGUCCGGAAUUAUUGGGCGUAAAGCGCGCGCAGGUGGUUUCUUAAGUCUGAUGUGAAAGCCCACGGCUCAACCGUGGAGGGUCAUUGGAAACUGGGGAACUUGAGUGCAGGAGAGAAGAGUGGAAUUCCACGUGUAGCGGUGAAAUGCGUAGAGAUGUGGAGGAACACCAGUGGCGAAGGCGACUCUUUGGCCUGUAACUGACACUGAGGAGCGAAAGCGUGGGGAGCGAACAGG
rnacentral:rRNA from 1 species